rnacentral:rRNA from 1 species
GAUGAACGCUAGCGGCAGGCUUAAUACAUGCAAGUCAAGGGGGUAGCAAUACAACCGGCGCACGGGUGAGUAACGCGUACACAACAUACCAUAUACUGGAGUAUAGCUUUGGGAAACUGAAGGUAAUCCUCCAUAACAUUGCGAGAGGGCAUCUGAUUGCAAUUAAAGUUCCGACGGUAUAUGAUUGGUGUGCGUUUGAUUAGCUAGUUGGUAGGGUAACGGCCUACCAAGGCGACGAUCAAUAGCUGGCGUGAGAGCGCGACCAGCCACACUGGAACUGAGACACGGUCCAGACUCCUACGGGAGGCAGCAGUAGGGAAUAUUGGACAAUGGGCGAAAGCCUGAUCCAGCCAUGCCGCGUGAUAGAUGAAGGCCCUCUGGGUUGUAAAUAUCUUUUAUCUGGGAAGAAACUCCUCUAUUCUUAGAGGCCUGACGGUACCAGAGGAAUAAAGCACCGGCUAACUCUGUGCCAGCAGCCGCGGUAAU